rnacentral:rRNA from 1 species
CUGAAUUUCCUAGGGGGCGUCAAAGCCUACCGAAGAAUAUCAAACUCCGAAUGCCGCGUAAUCGAUUAUCGGGAGUCAGACUGCACGAGAUAAGUUGGGCGGUCAAAAGGGAAAGAGCCCAGACCUUCAGUUAAGGUCCCAAAGUGCGCGUUAAGUGGAAAAGGAUGUGGGAUUUCGAAGACAACCAGGAUGUUGGCUCAGAAGCAGCCAUCCAUUCAAAGAGUGCGUAAUAGCUCACUGGUCGAGAGGUCCUGCGCCGAAAAUGUCCGGGGCUGAAACGCGCCACCGAAACUAAGGAACCGAAAGGUUGGUAGAGGAGCAUUGCAUGCGGGAAGAAGCAGUACCGUAAGGAGCUGUGGACUGCAUGGAAGAGAGAAUGCCGGAAUGAGUAGCGAGAUAGAGGUGAGAAUCCUCUAGGCCGAAUAUCCAAGGUUUCCAGAGUAAAGCUGAUCUGCUCUGGGUAAGUCGGGGCCUAAGGCGAGGACGAGAGUCGUAGCCGAUGGACAACAGGUGGAGAUUCCUGUACUGCGGUAUGACAGAACUGUGGGGACACGUAAGGAAAGCGGAAGCCGGGAAUGGAAAGCCCGGUGCAAGCGGGGUACCAGUCACUUUGGCAAAUCCGGGUGGCAAUGGGAAGCCGUGAUGCGGAGCGAAAUAAAGUAGCGAAGUCCGUGAGCCAUGCGUCAAGAAAAGCCGCUAUUGUUUAUACCGUACCCGUACCGUAAACCGACACAGGUGGAUGAGGAGAGAAUCCUAAGGCCGGCGGAAGAAGCAUUGUUAAGGAAUUCGGCAAAAUGACCCCGUAACUUCGGGAGAAGGGGUGCCUGCGAGAGCAGGCCGCAGAGAAUAGGCUCAAGCAACUGUUUAGCAAAAACACAGGUCUAUGCGAAACCGAAAGGUGAGGUAUAUGGGCUGACGCCUGCCCGGUGCUGGAAGGUUAAGAGGAGAGGUUAGCGCAAGCGAAGCUUUGAAUUUAAGCCCCAGUAAACGGCGGCCGUAACUAUAACGGUCCUAAGGUAGCGAAAUUCCUUGUCGGGUAAGUUCCGACCCGCACGAAAGGCGUAAUGAUUUGAGCGCUGUCUCGACAAUGCAUCCGGUGAAAUUGAAGUACCAGUGAAGAUGCUGGUUACCUGCGCCAGGACGGAAAGACCCCAUGGAGCUUUACUCCAGUCUGGUACUGGGACUCGGUAUUGCAUGUACAGGAUAGGUGGGAGGCUAGGAGAUGGUAACGCCAGUUGCCAUGGAGCCGCUGUUGGGAUACCACCCUUGCAGUAUUGGGUUUCUAACCAGCCGCCGUGACCCGGCGGUGGGACAAUGCCAGACGGGGAGUUUGACUGGGGCGGUCGCCUCCGAAAGGGUAUCGGAGGCGCCCAAAGGUUCCCUCAGAAUGGACGGAAACCAUUCGAAGAGUGCAAAGGCAGAAGGGAGCUUGACUGCGACACCGACGG